rnacentral:rRNA from 1 species
UACGAAGGGGGCUAGCGUUGCUCGGAAUCACUGGGCGUAAAGGGUGCGUAGGCGGGUCUUUUAAGUCAGGGGUGAAAUCCUGGAGCUCAACUCCAGAACUGCCUUUGAUACUGAGGAUCUUGAGUUCGGGAGAGGUGAGUGGAACUGCGAGUGUAGAGGUGAAAUUCGUAGAUAUUCGCAAGAACACCCGUAGCGAAGGCGGCGCUCUGGGCCGGUACUGACGCUGAGGAGCGAAAGCGUGGGGAGCAAACAGG